AGAAGCUCCCGAUGAUCCUGAUCCCUCAGAGCCCAGAUGCUCCACUGAUGCUACCAGGACAGACGAACAGCCAGAGGCAGCUGAACCAAUGGAUGGACAGGCUUCUGAAGAUCCAAAGGAGGUCACCUAUUCCCAGUUGACCUUCAGUGUCCCCACCCAGGGGACAGCUGGGACACCCUCCUUCUUGCCCAGGCAGACCCAGAUCAGCGAGUAUGAAACACUUGCCCUAAGAUAAGCCAUGAAUUUGGACAGAACUUAGAGCUGCCUAUUGGAAGGUCCCUCCUUUGGAAUCACUGCUUCCAAAUCUAAGACCAUCAGCCAGGCUGAGGAGAUCCACAUUACUCAGAAGGUCCUGCUGCCCCUGAAUCUGGAGACCUCAAGAUUACCACCCAAUCUGUUGCAGAAUCUCUCCUAUCAUUACCCAGCAAUUCCCAAGACCCUCAAAAGUUACUGGGAAAGGAAUAGGGUAAUUUUUUGUAAGAUUUCA